ensembl:snoRNA
AACACCCGUGCUUUUGGCAAACUGGUGGACAAAGAAAUAAAAGACAGGUGCAAAACUAAACCCCUUUACAACCCAGAAUUCAUUGUUUAUUCUGAGUUUUGAUACUGGUAAGACAUGAUACU